rnacentral:lncRNA from 10 species
CGAAUGACGCCUGGAGAGUGCAGGCGCCCCGCCAGUCAGGGAGACAGGACUUCCCUCACUGGGCUGAAGAUAGCCCCUGAAGUUAGGCACAGUCACCGGCGAAAUAUCUUUAUGGCAGAAAUGUGUUUCCUGCCCGUCUAACUUAGGUACUUCCCUCUGCAGCCAGCGUAAUCUUUCUAGAACACGUGUACCGGUAAUUACUGCUUCCACCCCCAGUUCUAGGCAAAGAGCAAGGCCGUUGCGCUCGUCUGCCUCGGAAAGUGGCUCCUCAGUGCCCUCAGACAAGUAAGUGUCAACUGUGCAGCAGACCUCUCAGAUCCAGGCAGCAUGUCCCUGCUCACCACUAGGCCCAUCUCAGCAGUCCAGGUGGACAUCCCCUGGAGCCUCUGUCACUCCCCCUGGUCACGCCAGAGAUUGGAGAAGAUGAAGAUAUCAGAAGGUGUAAUGCUGGCAUUGUUCCAUAGCAACGGGCCUUAGGUACAUGGCAGAAAAAGAGAGAGAAAAAGUUGUUCCCUUCUCAUAGUGUCCCUACCUGGAGUUAGCUGUCAGCCAAAAGCACUUUAAUGUAUCACGUCCUGGUGGCUACACAGGUUACACAAUUGUCAAAACCCAUUGGGCUGCACACUUAAUACCUAUGCAUUUUGUUGUAUGUUCAUUAUCUCAACAUUUUUUUCAAUAAAAAAAUUAAACUAGAAAACAA